AAACAACCCAUUCAACACGCUAUAAAUAAUUGAGGAAGCAACUCCAAAAGGAAGGACUCAUCAAGAAAAUGAUGGUCUUCUAGGUUGCUUUCAAUGAACAAAUAUUUGAAAAUGGAGAAAUCCUAUGAGGUAAAGAUUUAAUGAUCCCGCCGAGCUGAGGGCAUGGAUAUGUUUUGAGAAGAGUAGAUUACUCUUUUAUUUUGUUGUACAUUUUUUUGUAAAGCCAAGGGCUAAAAGUGUAUGGGUCCGAAAGAUCAUUUGGUGUAACCAGGCUCAUGCCUUGGAAGAUGUAAGCCGAUAAGGGCAUUUUGUUUAUUUUUGAGACUGUAUGCUUCACAUGCUAUAGAUUCAUGCGUUUUCCUA